UACGUAGGUGGCGAGCGUUGUCCGGAUUUAUUGGGCGUAAAGCGCGCGCAGGCGGCUUCGUAAGUCUGUCGUGAAAUCUCCUGGCUCAACCGGGAGGGGGCGGUGGAGACUGCGGGGCUGGAGGGACCGAGAGGCCGGUGGAAUUCCCGGUGUAGUGGUGAAAUGCGUAGAGAUCGGGAGGAACACCUGUGGCGAAGGCGGCCGGCUGGGGGUUACCUGACGCUGAGGCGCGAAAGCGUGGGGAGCGAACCGG
rnacentral:rRNA from 1 species